CGCGUAUUUUGCGAUGGCGGAGCUCGACCGCCGGUCGAAGUGAUGGUCGGGUUCAUCGACGAUCAGCGAGGGAAGCAUGGGGUCGAGCCGAUCUGCAGGGUUCUGCCGAUCGCCCCG
rfam:Rhodovulum sulfidophilum DNA, complete genome, strain: DSM 2351.